AAUGAACGCUGGCGGCAGGCUUAACACAUGCAAGUCGAACGGAUCCUUCGGGAUUAGUGGCUGACGGGUCAGCAACGCGGGGGAACAUACUCUUUGGUACGGAUUAGCCUCGGGAAACUGGUAGUAAUACCGUAUGUGGUCGAGAGAAGAAGGAUGUAUCGCCAAAGGAUUGGCCGCCGUUGGAUUAGGUAGUUGGUAGGGUAAUGGCCUACCAAGCCGACGAUCCAUAGCUGGUUUGAGAGGAUGAUCAGCCACACUGGGACUGGGGUACGGCGCAGUCUCCGACGGGAGGCGGCAGUGGGAAUCAUAGACAAUGGGGGAAACACUGAUCUAGUUAGGCCGCGUAAUCGAUUAAGGCCUUAGGAUUGUAAAGAUCUUUCAGGUGGGAGGUUGAUGACUGUACCACCAGAAGAAGCCCCGGCUAACUCCGUGCCAGCAGCCGCGGUAA
rnacentral:rRNA from 1 species